rnacentral:rRNA from 1 species
UGGGGAAUUUUGCACAAUGGGCGCAAGCCUGAUGCAGCGACGCCGCGUGAGGGAUGAAGGCCUUCGGGUUGUAAACCUUUUUCGCUCAUGGUCAAGCCGCAGCUUUGGGCUGUGGUGAGGGUAGUGGGUAAAGAAGCGCCGGCUAACUACGUGCCAGCAGCCGCGGUAAUACGUAGGGCGCGAGCGUUGUCCGGAAUUAUUGGGCGUAAAGGGCUUGUAGGCGGUUGGCCGCGUCUGCCGUGAAAUCCUCUGGCUUAACUGGGGGCGUGCGGUGGGUACGGGUUGACUUGAGUGCGGUAGGGGAGGCUGGAAUUCCUGGUGUAGCGGUGGAAUGCGCAGAUAUCAGGAGGAACACCGGUGGCGAAGGCGGGUCUCUGGGCCGUUACUGACGCUGAGGAGCGAAAGCGUGGGGAGCGAACAGG